CUGUAGGUCACCUAUGGUCUCUUUGCCCUUCAUACCACUCUUGGAUAUAUUUUUUGGGGGAAAAUAUGAAGGAGAAAUAAAAAGAAUCGAAAGAGAAAGAAAAGCUACCCUAUGGUCGAAAGAGAACAAAUGAGAGAGGAUCGAUAUCUAAGAGAGACAGAUGAAAUUCUCCCAAGAGAUGGAGAAUGAACUCCUUUUCCUCCCGCUCUGAUGAAGCCUCUUGCUGUCUCCGAUGGCCAUUCGAUAUAGAGAAGCUUCAGAAAAUAAUUUGGCAUGA
rnacentral:lncRNA from 1 species